rnacentral:rRNA from 1 species
ACCAUGAGGGAAAGGUGAAAAGCACCCCGGGAGGGGAAUGAAAGAGAACCUGAAACCGUAUGUUUACAAGCAGUCGGAGACCGCUUAAUAAUAAGGUCGACGGCGUGCCUAUUGAAGAAUGAACCGGCGAGUUACGAAGCCUGGCAAGGUUAAGCAGGAAAUGCGGAGCCGAAGCGAAAGCGAGUCUUAAGAGGGCGCAAGUCAGGAAGCGUAGACCCGAAACCACAGUGAUCUACCCAUGUCCAGGUUGAAACACAGGUAAAAAUGUGUGGAGGACCGAACCUAUAUCCGUUGAAAAGGGUUAGGAUGAGGUGUGGGUAGGGGUGAAAUUCCAAUCGAACGUGGAGAUAGCUGGUUCUCCCCGAAAUAGCUUUAGGGCUAGCCUCAGGGAAAAGAUUGCAGGCGGUAGAGCACUGAUCAGGAGAGGGACCUACCCGGUUACCAAACCCAGUCAAACUCCGAAUGGCUGCAAUCAUACCUGGGAGUCAGACUGCGACUAAUAAGGGCCGCAGUCAAAAGGGAAACAGCCCAGACCAUCAGCUAAGGUCCCCAAUGCCGUGCUAAGUGGAAAAGGAUGUGGCAUUUCAUAAACAACCAGGAUGUUGGCUCAGAAGCAGCCACCAUUUAAAGAGUGCGUAAUAGCUCACUGGUCGAGAGACGCUGCGCCGAAAAUGUCCGGGGCUCAAGCACGGAACCGAAGCUAUGGCAUGAUAGCAAUAUCAUGGGUAGGGGAGCGUUCUUAUAAGGAAGAAGCAUGACCGGAAGGACAUGUGGACAAAUAAGAAGUGAGAAUGCCGGUAUGAGUAUCGAAAAGAAAGGUGAGAAUCCUUUCCACCGAAAGCCCGAGGGUUCCUGAGCAACGAUCGUCGACUCAGGGUAAGUCGGGACCUAAGCCGAGGCGGAAAGCGUAGGCGAUGGACAACAGGUUGAAAUUCCUGUACCGGAUCAAGUCGAUCGAGCGAAGGAGCGACGCAGGAGGGCACAUGAUCGCGCGGCUGGAAGAGCGCGUCCAAGUGCGUAUGUUGCAGCAGAGGAAAACCCCUGCAGCUAAAAGCAGAGACAUGAUGGGGAGUUAAAGGAAACUUUGACGAACUCAUGGAUCCCACACUGCCAAGAAAAACUUCUAGCGAGACAAGAUCCGCCCGUACCGUAAACCGACACAGGUAGGCGGGGAGAGAAUCCUAAGGUGCGCGGGAAAACCCUCGUUAAGGAACUCGGCAAAUUGCAUCCGUAACCUAGGGAGAAGGAUGGCCCCCGGUCAGUGAAGAGCAGAAACGCUCAGAGCUAAAAGGGGCGGCAGAAAAGAGGCCCAAGCAACUGUUUACCAAAAACACAGGUGCCUGCGAAAGCGAAAGCUGAAGUAUAGGUGCUGACGCCUGCCCGGUGCCGGAAGGUUAAGGAGAGAAGUUAGCGAAAGCGAAGCAUCGAACUGAAGCCCCGGUGAACGGCGGCCGUAACUAUAACGGUCCUAAGGUAGCGAAAUUCCUUGUCGGGUAAGUUCCGACCCGCAUGAAAGGCGUAAUGAUUUGGGCACUGUCUCAACGAGGGGCCCGGUGAAAUUGAAAUACCUGUGAAGAUGCAGGUUACCCGCGACUGGACAGAAAGACCCCAUGGAGCUUCACUGCAGCUUGAGAUUGAAUCCCGGUGACAGAUGCACAGGAUAGGUGGGAGGCGCCGAAGCAUUGCCCUAGGGCGGUGCGGAGCCGAUGUUGGGAUACCACCCUUCUGUUGCUGAGAUUCUAACGCGAGGAGUAACGACCCUGCGGACCCUCUCAGGCAGGCGGUUUGACUGGGGCGGUCGCCUCCGAAAGAGUAACGGAGGCGCCCAAAGGUUCCCUCAGGCCGGACAGAAACCGGCCGAAGAGUGCAAAGGCAGAAGGGAGCUUGACUGCGAGACCAACAAGUCGAGCAGAGACGAAAGUCGGGCUUAGUGAUCCGGUGGUACUGAGUGGAAAGGCCAUCGCUCAACGGAUAAAAGCUACCCUGGGGAUAACAGGCUAAUCUCUCCCAAGAGUUCAUAUCGACGGGGAGGUUUGGCACCUCGAUGUCGGCUCAUCACAUCCUGGGGCUGGAGUAGGUCCCAAGGGUUGGGCUGUUCGCCCAUUAAAGUGGUACGCGAGCUGGGUUCAAAACGUCGUGAGACAGUUUGGUUCAUAUCCAUCGCGGGCGCAAGAAGUUUGAGAGGAGCUGCUCCUAGUACGAGAGGACCGGAGUGGACGGAUCAACGGUGUCCCAGUUGUCACGCCAGUGGCACGGCUGGAAAGCCGCAUCCGGGAAGGAUAAACGCUGAAAGCAUCUAAACGCGAAGCCAACCUCAAGAUGAGACUUCU